rnacentral:rRNA from 1 species
UCUGGUUGAUCCUGCCAGUCUACAAAGCUUGACUUGGAAAUUAAGCCAUGCAUGUCUAAGUAUAAGUUACACAAAGCGAAACUGCGAAUGGCUCAUUACAACAGUUGUAAUUUAUUUGAUGAUUUUCUUACAUGGAUAACCGUGGGAAACUAGGGCUAAUACAUGCAAAAGGCCUUCGGGCUGUAUUUAUUAGUUUCAAACUUAUGCGGCGCAAGUCGCUUAGUGAGGAAUCAAGAUAACUGAUCGAAGCCAAUCUAUUGGCUAAAUCAUUCGAGCUUCUGACCUAUCAGCUUGUUGUUAGUGUAUUGGACUAACAAGGCGGUAACAGGUAACGGAGAAUUGGGGUUCGAUUCCGGAGAGUCAGCCUGAGAAACGGCUGACAUUUCCACGGAAGGCAGCAGGCGUGAAAAUUACCCAAUCACAAUUCGUGGAGGUAGUUAAUAGACAUAACAGUCCCGGCCUUUUAGGUUUGGGAAUGUAAUGAACUCAGUCUAGACAGCUGGGUGAAAUCCAUUGGAGGGCAAGUCUGGUGCCAGCAGCCGCGGUAAUUCCAGCUCCAAUAGCUUUGUUGAAAGUUGCUGCAGUUAAAAAGCUCGUAGUUGAAUGUCCGGCGUCUCUGACGUCUGCCCGAAUCGACUUUAGAUGCCGAAAGGUUUUUACUGCUCGAUCUGGCGUUUACUGUGAACAAAUUAGCGUGCUCAAGACAGGCUUUUGCUUGAAUUUUCUAGCAUGGAAUAAUGAAAUACGACUUCGCUCAUUUUAUUGGUUAUUGGACGAAGUAAUGGUUAACAGGAACAGUUGGGGGCAUUCGUACUUAAGAGUCAGAGGUGAAAUUCUUAGAUUUCUUAAAGACGAACUAAUGCGAAGGCAUUUGCCAAGGAUGUUUUCAUUAAUCAAGAACGAAAGCGUUGGGAUCAAAAAGGAUCAGAUACCCUUGUAGUCAACGCCGUAAACGAUACUGACUAGGGAUUGGUGAGGCUAACCCUCAUCAGCACCUAAUGAGAAAUCAAAGUCUUUGAGUUCUGGGGAGAGUUAACGUAUUCAGCCGAAUACUGGAGGCUCCAGAGCGUUUGAUUUCCUAAAUUCCUCCUAGACCAGCUCUAAAAAGUCGGGCAGCAAUGCCUGGCUAGUCGGGAAACCGGCAACACUGUCAAAUUGCGGGAAACUUGUAAAACCACGACAACCGCGGCUUUCUGAAAGGGAAGUGCAGCAGCAGGCGUAAUGGCCUGUGGACGGUAACAUCGUCGGGGGUAAAUCGACUAUCCGCAGCCAAGUCCUACAGCGCAAGCCAGGGAUGCAGUUCAGAGACUAAACGGCAGUGGGCUCACGCCUAAGAUAUAGUCCGAUCUCUGCAUAAAUG